GUGUGUCUGUGUGUAUGUGUGUGAACAGUUCUAACUUAAUCAGAAGAAGAGAGAGAUCCAGGAAACGAUCUUCACUCUGCAGACAUGAUGCUGGGAUACUGGGUUUUGCUGCUCGGUGCAUUGCUCUCAUGUGGUGCUUCAGGAGGGCAACUUCAAAUGGAGUGAUGGAUCUAAGAUUAAUUUUAUAAACUGGUACAACGAAGUUCCUGAUGACUUCAACGAGCACGAGGACUGCGUGCAUAUGAACCACCAUAUACCCAAAAAAUGGAAUGACUUGCCCUGUGACGAAAAAUUGCCGUACGUUUGUGCCUAUCAAAAUAAAUCAUAAAGUU